UGGUCAAGUUAUUAAGGGUGCAGGGCGGAUGCCUUGGCACUAGGAGCCGAUGAAGGACGUGAUAAGCUGCGAUAAGCUUCGGGGAGUUGCACGUAAACUUUGAUCCGAAGAUUUCCGAAUGAGGAAACUCACUUAGAGUAAUGUCUAAGUAUCAUUAAGUGAAUACAUAGCUUAAUGAGGGGAACUCAGGGAACUGAAACAUCUAAGUACCUGAAGGAAGAGAAAGAAAUUCGAUUCCGUAAGUAGCGGCGAGCGAACGCGGAUUAGCCCAAACCAAUAAAGUUUUCUUUAUUGGGGUUGCGGACAUAUCAUAACGAAGAGGUAUCGUAAUUGAAGAGGUUUGGAAAGACCCACCACAGAAGGUAAUAGUCCUGUAUGUUAAACGAGAAGACUUUAGAUAUGAUCCAGAGUACCACGGGACACGUGAAACCCUGUGGGAAGCAGGAGGGACCACCCUCCAAGGCUAAAUACUACCUAGUGACCGAUAGCGUAUAGUACCGUGAGGGAAAGGUGAAAAGAACCCCGGGAGGGGAGUGAAAUAGAACCUGAAACCCUGCACUUACAAGCUGUGGAAGCACAUUUCUUGUGUGACCGCGUACUUUUUGUAGAACGGGCCAACGAGUUACGUUAAGUAGCAAGGUUAAGCACUUAAGGUGCGGAGCCGUAGCGAAAGCGAGUUU
rnacentral:rRNA from 1 species